rnacentral:rRNA from 1 species
GACGAACGCUGGCGGCGUGCCUAAUACAUGCAAGUCGAGCGCAGGAAACCGUCUGAACCCUUCGGGGGGACGACGGUGGAAUGAGCGGCGGACGGGUGGGUAACACGUAAAGAACCUGCCCACGGGUCUGGGAUAACCACGAGAAAUCGGGGCUAAUACCGGACGGGUCAUCGGACCGCAUGGUCCGAGGAUGAAAGGCGCUCCGGCGUCGCCCGUGGAUGGCUUUGCGGUGCAUUAGCUAGUUGGUGGGGUAACGGCCCACCAAGGCGACGUUGCAUAGGCGACCGGAGAGGGUGAUCGGCCACACUGGGACUGAGACACGGCCCAGACUGCUACGGGAGGCAGAAGUAGGGAAUCUUCCACAAUGGACGAAAGUCUGAUGGAGCAACGCCGCGUGAACGAUGAAGGCCCUCGGGUCGUAAAGUUCUGUUGUAAGGGAAGAACAAGUGCCGCAGGCAAUGGCGGCACCUUGACGGUACCUUGCGAGAAAGCCACGGCUAACUACGUGCCAGCAGCCGCGGUAAAAC